CCUACGGGAGGCAGCAGUAGGGAAUAUUGCUCAAUGGGGGAAACCCUGAAGCAGCAACGCCGCGUGGAGGAUGAAGGUUUUCGGAUUGUAAACUCCUUUUGUUAGAGAAGAUAAUGACGGUAUCUAACGAAUAAGCACCGGCUAACUCCGUGCCAGCAGCCGCGGUAAUACGGAGGGUGCAAGCGUUACUCGGAAUCACUGGGCGUAAAGAGCGCGUAGGCGGGAUAGCAAGUCAGAUGUGAAAUCCUAUGGCUUAACCAUAGAACUGCAUUUGAAACUGUUAUUCUAGAGUAUGGGAGAGGUAGGUGGAAUACUUGGUGUAGGGGUAAAAUGCGUAGAGAUCAAGAGGAAUACUCAUUGCGAAGGCGACCUGCUAGAACAUAACUGACGCUGAUGCGCGAAAGCGUGGGGAGCAAACAGGAUUAGAUACCCUAGUAGUC
rnacentral:rRNA from 1 species